rnacentral:misc_RNA from 1 species
GAUGAAGAACGUAGCGAAAUGCGAUACGUAGUGUGAAUUGCAGAAUUCAGUGAAUCAUCGAAUCUUUGAACGCACAUUGCGCCCGCCAGUAUUCUGGCGGGCAUGCCUGUCCGAGCGUCAUUUCAACCAUCAAGCCCCGGGCUUGUGUUGGGGACCUGCGUCCGACGCAGGCCCUGAAAACCAGUGGCGGGCUCGCUGUCCACACCGAGCGUAGUAACUAACCUCGCUAUGGAGUGGCGCGGGCGCCUGCCGUAAAACCCCCAAUUUCACAAGGUUGACCUCGGAUCAGGUAGGAAUACCCGCUGAACUUAAGCAUAUCAAUAAGCGGAGGA